rnacentral:rRNA from 1 species
GAGACAGCAGUAGCCGCGGUAAUACGUAGGUGGCAAGCGUUGUCCGAAAUUAUUGGGCGUAAAGGGCUCGCAGGCGGUUUCUUAAGUCUGAUGUGAAAGCCCCCGGCUCAACCGGGGAGGGUCAUUGGAAACUGGGAAACUUGAGUGCAGAAGAGGAGAGUGGAAUUCCACGUGUAGCGGUGAAAUGCGUAGAGAUGUGGAGGAACACCAGUGGCGAAGGCGACUCUCUGGUCUGUAACUGACGCUGAGGAGCGAAAGCGUGGGGAGCGAACAGGAUUAGAUACCCCCGUAGUCCCGUCUCUUAUACA